AUUGAACGCUGGCGGCAGGCCUAACACAUGCAAGUCGAGCGGAUGAAGGGAGCUUGCUCCUGGAUUCAGCGGCGGACGGGUGAGUAAUGCCUAGGAAUCUGCCUGGUAGUGGGGGAUAACGUCCGGAAACGGGCGCUAAUACCGCAUACGUCCUGAGGGAGAAAGUGGGGGAUCUUCGGACCUCACGCUAUCAGAUGAGCCUAGGUCGGAUUAGCUAGUUGGUGGGGUAAAGGCCUACCAAGGCGACGAUCCGUAACUGGUCUGAGAGGAUGAUCAGUCAAACUGGAACUGAGACACGGUCCAGACUCCUACGGGAGGCAGCAGUGGGAAUAUUGGACAAUGGGCGAAAGCCUGAUCCAGCCAUGCCGCGUGUGUGAAGAAGGUCUUCGGAUUGUAAAGCACUUUAAGUUGGGAGGAAGGGCAGUAAGUUAAUACCUUGCUGUUUUGACGUUACCAACAGAAUAAGCACCGGCUAACUUCGUG
rnacentral:rRNA from 1 species